GACGAACCGUCCGAACGUUAUUCGGAAUCACUGGGCUUAAAGGGUGCGUAGGCGGCGCGGAAAGUUGGGUGUGAAAUCCCUCGGCUUAACCGAGGAACGGCGCCCAAAACUACCGUGCUCGAGGGAGAUAGAGGUGAGCGGAACUUAGGGUGGAGCGGUGAAAUGCGUUGAUAUCCUAAGGAACACCGGUGGCGAAAGCGGCUCACUGGAUCUCUUCUGACGCUGAUGCACGAGAGCUAGGGUAGCGAACGGG
rnacentral:rRNA from 1 species